rnacentral:rRNA from 1 species
CAGAGGUGGCAAGCGUUGUUCGGAAUUACUGGGCGUAAAGGGCGCGUAGGCGGUCUUGUAAGUCUUGUGUGAAAUCCCUCGGCUCAACUGAGGAACUGCACGGGAUACUGCGAGACUUGAGUUCGGGAGAGGGAAGCGGAAUUCCGGGUGUAGCGGUGAAAUGCGUAGAUAUCCGGAGGAACACCGGUGGCGAAGGCGGCUUCCUGGACCGAUAACUGACGCUGAGGCGCGAAAGCUAGGGGAGCAAACGGGAUUAGAUACCCCGGUAGUCCUAGCUGUAAACGAUGAGUGCUGGGUGUAGAGGGUAUUAACCCCUUCUGUGCCGAAGCUAACGCAUUAAGCACUCCGCCUGGGGAGUACGGUCGCAAGGCUG